GCCGCCGGGGCAGCCGUACGUGCAGCCGCCGCCGAUGCAGGCGAGCCACGUGCAGCCAGCGCCGCCGCCGGGGUACCCUGGCAGCUACAACGGUGGCAUGAUGAACCCUCCGCCGCUUCAGGUGGUGGCGCCCCAGACGCAGACCCGCGGCGACAAGGGCUUCUGGGAAGGAUGCUGUGCAGCCCUCUGCUGCUGCUGCGUCCUGGACAUGUGCUGCUAAGUAAGCCCGGCGAGAACAGUAGUAUACCUCCAACUAACGAACCAUGGCAUGAUCUCUCCAAGUCUACAUUUGUAAUUGUCUGUGAGUCCGUUCGUGCCUAGAGAAUAAUCAGUGCGUGAUACAACUACCUGUAACGUUACUCACGUACCAUCUGUUUUUAUUAUUAUGUUGGCAUGAGGUUUGAAUUUGUGAAAUGCGAUAACUCAUGUACCAUCUAUUUUUAUUAUGUUGGCAUGAGGUUUGUAUUUGUGAAUUGCGAUACAUGUACGAAGGUACUCCCUCUCUGUUCCAAAUAAUGAGACGUUUUGGUUUUUCUAAAUACAUUAUUUUUGUUAUGUAUCUAGACAUAGAUAUCUAAGUGCAUAGCAAAAACCAUGUAUCUAGAAAAGUCACGGCGUCUUAUACAAUUUGGAACAGAGGGAUAAAGAUUUAUCAUACAGACAAUCUGGAAAAUAAACAGAUAAGCGACAAGGUACAAUAAUAACGACCAUAAUUACCAACGGUAUUUCUGGGUUCUUUUUUUUUUUCUU